GACGAACGCUGGCGGCGUGCUUAACACAUGCAAGUCGAACGGAAAGGCCCUGCUUUUGUGGGGUGCUCGAGUGGCGAACGGGUGAGUAACACGUGAGUAACCUGCCCUUGACUUUGGGAUAACUUCAGGAAACUGGGGCUAAUACCGGAUAGGAGCUCCUGCUGCAUGGUGGGGGUUGGAAAGUUUCGGCGGUUGGGGAUGGACUCGCGGCUUAUCAGCUUGUUGGUGGGGUAGUGGCUUACCAAGGCUUUGACGGGUAGCCGGCCUGAGAGGGUGACCGGCCAAAUUGGGACUGAGAUACGGCCGAGACUCCUCCGGGGGGGAGAAGUGGGGAAUAUUGCAAAAGGGGCGGAGGCCUGAUGCAGCAACGCCGCGGGGGGGAUGACGGCCUUCGGUUUGUAAACCGCUUGCGCCUGUGACGAAGGGUGAGUGACGGGAAUGGGUAAAGAAGCACCGGCUAACUACGUG
rnacentral:rRNA from 1 species